GCUUUCCCUUCGGGGACAAAGUGACAGGUGGUGCAUGGUUGUCGUCAGCUCGUGUCGUGAGAUGUUGGGUUAAGUCCCGCAACGAGCGCAACCCUUGAUUUUAGUUGCCAGCAUUUAGUUGGGCACUCUAAAGUGACUGCCGGUGCAAGCCGGAGGAAGGUGGGGAUGACGUCAAAUCAUCAUGCCCCUUAUGACCUGGGCUACACACGUGCUACAAUGGAUAGUACAAAGGGUCGCGAAGCCGCGAGGUGGAGCUAAUCCCAUAAAACUAUUCUCAGUUCGGAUUGUAGGCUGCAACUCGCCUACAUGAAGCCGGAAUCGCUAGUAAUCGUGGAUCAGCAUGCCACGGUGAAUACGUUCCCGGGCCUUGUACACACCGCCCGUCACACCACGAGAGUUUGUAACACCCGAAGUCGGUAGGGUAACCUUUAUGGAGCCAGCCGCCGAAGGUGGGACAGAUAAUUGGGGUGAAGUCGUAACAAGGUAGCCGUAUCGGAAGGUGCGGCUGGAUCACCUCCUUUCUAAGGAA
rnacentral:rRNA from 1 species